CAGCCGCCGCGGUAAUACGUAGGUGGCAAGCGUUGUCCGGAAUCAUUGGGCGUAAAGCGCGCGCAGGCGGUCCUUUAAGUCUGAUGUGAAAUCUUGCGGCUCAACCGUAAGCGGUCAUUGGAAACUGGGGGACUUGAGUGCAGGAGAGGAAAGCGGAAUUCCAUGUGUAGCGGUGAAAUGCGUAGAGAUAUGGAGGAACACCAGUGGCGAAGGCGGCUUUCUGGCCUGUAACUGACGCUGAGGCGCGAAAGAGUGGGGAGCAAACAGGAUUAGAUACCCUGGUAGUCCACGCCGUAAACGAUGAGUGCUAAGUGUUGGAGGGUUUCCGCCCUUCAGUGCUGCAGCUAACGCAUUAAGCACUCCGCCUGGGGAGUACGGUCGCAAGACUGAAACUUAAAGGAAUUGGCGGG
rnacentral:rRNA from 1 species